UUGAACGCUGGCGGCAUGCUUUACACAUGCAAGUCGAACGGUAACAGGCCUUCGGGUGCUGACGAGUGGCGAACGGGUGAGUAAUACAUCGGAACGUACCCAGAGGUGGGGGAUAACGCAGCGAAAGCUGUGCUAAUACCGCAUGUGAUCUGAGGAUGAAAGCGGGGGACCGAGCAGCAAUGUUUGGCCUCGCGCCUUUGGAGCGGCCGAUGUCGGAUUAGCUAGUUGGUGGGGUAAAGGCCUACCAAGGCGACGAUCCGUAGCUGGUCUGAGAGGACGACCAGCCACACUGGGACUGAGACACGGCCCAGACUCCUACGGGAGGCAGCAGUGGGGAAUUUUGGACAAUGGGCGCAAACCUGAUCCAGCAAUGCCGCGUGCGUGAAGAAGGCCUUCGGGUUGUAAACCGCUUUUGGCAGGAACGAAACGGUGUCCGCUAAUACCGGGCGCUAAUGACGGUACCUGCAGAAUAAGCACCGGCUAACUACGUG
rnacentral:rRNA from 1 species